CUACGUGCCAGCAGCCGCGGUAAUACGUAGGUCCCGAGCGUUGUCCGGAUUUAUUGGGCGUAAAGCGAGCGCAGGCGGUUAGAUAAGUCUGAAGUUAAAGGCUGUGGCUUAACCAUAGUACGCUUUGGAAACUGUUUAACUUGAGUGCAAGAGGGGAGAGUGGAAUUCCAUGUGUAGCGGUGAAAUGCGUAGAUAUAUGGAGGAACACCGGUGGCGAAAGCGGCUCUCUGGUCUGUAACUGACGCUGAGGCUCGAAAGCGUGGGGAGCGAACAGGAUUAGAUACCCUGGUAGUCCACGCCGUAAACGAUGAGUGCUAGGUGUUGGAUCCUUUCCGGGAUUCAGUGUCGCAGCUAACGCAUUAAGCACUCCGCCUGGGGAGUACGACCGCAAGGUUGAAACUCAAAGGAAUUGACGGGGACCCGCACAAGCGGUGGAGUAUGUGGUUUAAUUCGAAGCAACGCGAAGAACCUUACCAGGCCUUGACAU
rnacentral:rRNA from 1 species